GAUGAACGCUGGCGGCGUGCCUAAUACAUGCAAGUCGAACGAAGCUUCUUUAUCACCGAGUGCUUGCACUCACCGAUAAAGAGUUGAGUGGCGAACGGGUGAGUAACACGUGGGCAACCUGCCCAAAAGAGGGGGAUAACACUUGGAAACAGGUGCUAAUACCGCAUAACCAUAGUUACCGCAUGGUAACUAUGUAAAAGGUGGCUAUACUACCGCUUUUGGAUGGGCCCGCGGCGCAUUAGCUAGUUGGUAGGGUAAAGGCUUACCAAGGCAAUGAUGCGUAGCCGAAGUGAGAGGUUGAUCGGCCACAUUGGGACUGAGACACGGCCCAAACUCCUACGGGAGGCAGCAGUAGGGAAUCUUCCACAAUGGGCGAAAGCCUGAUGGAGCAACGCCGCGUGGGUGAAGAAGGUCUUCGGAUCGUAAAACCCUGUUGUUAGAGAAGAAAGUGCGUGAGAGUAACUGUUCACGUUUCGACGGUAUCUAACCAGAAAGCCACGGCUAACUACGUG
rnacentral:rRNA from 1 species